rnacentral:rRNA from 1 species
GACGAACGCUGGCGGCGUGCCUAAUACAUGCAAGUAGAACGAACAGUCUAUACCGUAGCUUGCUACACCAUAAACUGUGAGUUGCGAACGAGAGAGUAACGCGUAGGUAACCUGCCUGGUAGCAGGGGGUAAAUAUUGGACAAGAUCGCUAAUACCGCAUAAUAUUCAUUAUUGCAUGGUAAUUGAUUGAAAUAUUCACUUGCAUCAAUACCAGCUGGCCCUACUUUGUAUUUGCUAGUAGGAGAGGUAACGGCUCACCUAAGCGAUGGUACAUAGCCGACCUGGAGGGGUGAUCGGCCACACCGGGAAUGGGAAACGGCCCAGACUCCUACGGGGGGCAGCAGGAGGGAAUCUUCGGGAAUUGACGGAAGUCUGACCGGGCAAAGCCGCGUGAGUGAAGAAGGUUUUCCGGUCGUAAAGCCCUGUUUUUAGGGAAGAACGGGUGUGGGAAGGGAAAGUUCACACUGUGACGGUAUCUUACCAGAAAGGGACGGCUAACUACGUG